AGAAAGGACACCCCAAAUUCAGCAAUAUAAACAAGAUGAAGAGACAGAGGAAUACCCAGCAGGGACUCCAGUUACACCCAUGUUUGAAAAUAUCCCUCACGUCCUUGAGACUCUUUAUUUCUUCUAAUCAUUUUCUCUGCUUUGGAUUGGAUUAAUUAUAUUGAUCUAUCUAUCCUGCAGACUAUAGUGCUUCUAAAGACUCAAGAGUCUGAAACCUGGUCCACACACUAGCCACAUGGAGCCAGCGUGUCUGCCAAGGCAGUUAUAGAGAAGGAAGUUUGCCUUAUCAAGAAGCAGCAUCUGCACCAGAAGUAGGAGAGCCCUAGAGCUGCAUUUCAUCAGCACAAAAGGCAUGAUGAGUAUGACCAAGUUUCCCCAACAGUUUCCUGUUGAAGGCGACUUUGUAAAUUAAAGAAGUUACAUUUAACAUCAUUUUCCUUUUCUGGCUCAACUGGUAAAGAGUUUUGCUUUUGCCAAUGUUGGUUUUCUUCAAGCAUAAACAUGGAUUCCAAACAAGUCUAAGAAAAGUGUCUUUUGUUGUUGUUGUUUUGUUAUUUGAGGAAAAUCCUAUAUUUCAAAUCAUAUUAUUGUGAGAAAAAUCAGAGUGAUCAAAAAUGAUGUUUCAAAAUCCUGCUUUGAACUUGUCUUAGUCUGGGACCCGGAAAAGCUGUUUCUGUUGUGGAAAUAUGUGGAUCUUGGUGAUCUAGAUCCGAUAAAUUGUUCUCAUUUCAGUGAAGUGGUUUAUUUACAGCAUCUUGAUGGGAGAAAAUGUGGAGGCUAGUAGUCCAUUUAACUACACUGGUGAGUACCACUCAUAAAGAUAGAUGUGUCCAAAAUUUGGUCUCUUUCUUUACAGUUCAUAGGUUUUAUUUCAUGACAAUUAUAGUCAGAGGAACAUGGGAUAGAAAUUAUUAACAUUAUUAAUUUAGGCAAACUAGAGAAAAAUUGAUAGUCAUUAUUUCUGUCAAUGUGUAGCAGUGUGAUCUUACUGAAGCAUGCGUUGAAGUUGACCAUUUGGGAACGGUGACUGCUCUCAGUACCCAUCUAUAGUAUUUGUGUAUAAUGGAGAGGGUCUACAGGGAUGAAGUUUUGUGCACUGGAUCUUGGGGCCAUAGAGAAAGAUGAUGCUGAAAUGAUAAAGACAUAAUGGGGUGUAUUUACAAGCCUAAUCUAUGAGUAAGAGUCAUUCUCUCCAGCUUUGGGGACUGAAGGGAAACACAGAGCUAUUUUGGUACCUGAGAGGUUUUACAGCUUUGUGAGCAGCUGGAGGGAGGUUUUUAUACAGAAGUCUCCUAACCAAAUGGCAGCACGUGGCAAAUGAAUUAGGACUAUUCUUAGACUUUUCCUUGUAGCAUUAACUAGAUUAUAUUCUUGUUCUACAGUCUAUGACCAUUUCAUGGAGAAAUAGGGAAUCAAAUUCUUGAUUAAAACUUAUUUGAUCU